rnacentral:misc_RNA from 1 species
GAUGAAGAACGUAGCGAAAUGCGAUAAGUAAUGCGAAUUGCAGAUUUCAGUGAGUCAUCGAAUCUUUGAACGCACAUUGCGCCCCUUGGUAUUCCGAGGGGCAUGCCUGUUCGAGCGUCAUUAUAACCCCUCAAGCUCAGCUUGGUGUUGGGGCCUGCUGCACUGGCAGCCCUUAAAAUCAGUGGCGGCGCCAUCUGGCUCUAAGCGUAGUAAUUCUUCUCGCUAUGGAGUCCUGGUGGAUGCUUGCCAUCAACCCCCAAUUUUUCUAUGGUUGACCUCGGAUCAGGUAGGGAUACCCGCUGAACUUAAGCAUAUCAAUAAGCGGAGGA